GUUCCUGCAUAUCAUGCAGGGUAUAUAGCUUCUCAAGAGGGUACCGUCCGAACUGAAACAUCUAAGUAGGGCGAGGAGUAUAAAUCAAAUGAGAUUUCGCAAGUAGCGGAGAGCGAAA
rnacentral:autocatalytically_spliced_intron from 1 species